rnacentral:sRNA from 1 species
AGAGGAAGUAAAAGUCGUAACAAGGUUUCCGUAGGUGAACCUGCGGAAGGAUCAUUACAGAAGAAAUUGAUAGGGUUGAGCUGACUCUUUGGAGUAUGUGCUUGCACUGUCACUUUUUCUAUUCUCCCUUGUGAACCCUUUUGUAGACUUUUUAUGAUAUUGAACUUUCUAGUUCACUUGGGACUCGCAUCUUAUAUUGAGAUGCUUGACUCUAACCUUAUCAUAUCAGUCUAUGAUUUCUUAUACAUCUACUCUUCAGUUUAUGAAUGUCUUUUUUUGUUGGUUUUUAAUACCAAUAAAUUUGCUUGUACAACUUUCAGCAACGGAUCUCUUGGCUCUCGCAUCGAUGAAGAACGCAGCGAAAUGCGAUAAGUAAUGUGAAUUGCAGAAUUCAGUGAAUCAUCGAAUCUUUGAACGCACCUUGCACUCCUUGGUAUUCCGAGGAGUAUGCCUGUUUGAGUGUCAUUAAAUUCUCAAACUUUUUUUCCUUGUUUAUUCCUUGGAAAGAUAGUUUGGAUAUGGGAGUUUGCUGGUUUUUUAAAUCAGCUCUCUUUAAAUUCAUUAGUGGAUUUGGACUUGUUCCACAUUCUCAAUUGAUGUGAUAGUUAUCUACAUCAUUAGAGAUUGAAUUAUCUGCUUAUAAUUGUCUCUUGACGUACUUUUGACAAUUUGACCUCAAAUCAGGUAGGACUACCCGCUGAACUUAAGCAUAUCAAUAAGCGGAGGAAAAGAAACUAACAAGGAUUCCCCUAGUAACUGCGAGUGAAGCGGGAAGAGCUCAAAUUUGAAAUCUGGCAGUUCUUGUAGCUGUCCGAGUUGUAAUUUAGAGAAGUGUUGCCCGCGCUGGACCGUAUAUAAGUCCUUUGGAAUGAGGCGUCAUAGAGGGUGAGAAUCCCGUCUUUGAUACGGACUACCAGUG